UGGCCAUGAUUUACUUGAUCUUGAUUAUCUAAAUGGAUAACUGUGGAAAAGCUAGAGCUAAUACAUGCACUAAAGCUUUGUCCUUACGGAAAAGCGCAUUUAUUAGAACAAAACCACGCGGCUUCGGCUGCUUCUUGUUGACUCAGAAUAACUAAGCUGACCGCAUGGCCUUGUGCCGGCGGCGUGUCUUUCAAGCGUCCACUUUAUCAACUUGACGGGAGCAUAAUCGACUCCCGUGGUGGUGACGGAUAACGGAGGAUCAGGGUUCGACUCCGGAGAAGGGGCCUGAGAAAUGGCCACUACGUCUAAGGAUGGCAGCAGGCGCGCAAAUUACCCACUCUCGGCUCGAGGAGGUAGUGACGAGAAAUAACGAGACUGUUCUCUUUGAGGCCGGUCAUCGGAAUGGGUACAAUUUAAACCCUUUAACGAGUAUCAAGCAGAGGGCAAGUCUGGUGCCAGCAGCCGCGGUAAUUCCAGCAUCUGCUAAUACAUAGAAUUAUUGCUGCGGUUAAAAAGCUCGUAGUUGGAUUCGUAUCGGUACCUUGGAACCCUUCGGGUGUCUCUAGGUGUUAUCGAUUUAUCGUAAUGUUCGGUUUUGAGUCCUUAACAGGAUUCUUAACAGGCAUUGCAAGUUUACUUUGAACAAAUCAGAGUGCUUCAAACAGGCGUUUUCGCUUGAAUGAUCGUGCAUGGAAUAAUAGAAAAUGAUUUCGGUUCAGUUUUAUUGGUUUUACGGACUGAGAUAAUGGUUAACAGAGACAAACGGGGGCAUUUGUAUGGUCCCGUGAGAGGUGAAAUUCUUGGACCGUGGCCAGACAAACUACAGCGAAAGCUUUGCCAGAAUGUUUUUAUUAAUCAAGAACGAAAGUCAGAGGUUCGAAGGCGAUCAGAUACCGCCCUAGUUCUGACCGUAAACGAUGCCAACUAGCGAUCCGCUGAUGGAAAUUAUAUUGCCUUGGUGGGGAGCUUCCCGGAAACGAAAGUCUUCCGGUUCCGGGGGAAGUAUGGUUGCAAAGCUGAAACUUAAAGGAAUUGACGGAAGGGCACCACCAGGAGUGGAGCCUGCGGCUUAAUUUGACUCAACACGGGGAAACUCACCCGGCCCGGACACUGUGAGGAUUGACAGAUUGAUAGCUUUUUCAUGAUUCAGUGGAUGGUGGUGCAUGGCCGUUCUUAGUUCGUGGAGUGAUUUGUCUGGUUUAUUCCGAUAACGAGCGAGACUCUAACCUACUAAAUAGUUGGUACAUACUCUUUGUGUAUACAGCUUCUUAGAGGGAUUUGCGGCGUUCAGCCGAAAGAAAUUGAGCAAUAACAGGUCUGUGAUGCCCUUAGAUGUCCGGGGCUGCACGCGCGCUACACUGGCAAAAUCAACGUGCUUGUCCUACCCCGAAAGGGGCGGGUAAACCAUUGAAAAUUUGCCGUGAUUGGGAUCGGAAAUUGCAAUUAUUUUCCGUGAACGAGGAAUUCCAAGUAAGUGCGAGUCAUCAGCUCGCGUUGAUUACGUCCCUGCCCUUUGUACACACCGCCCGUCGCUGCCCGGGACUGAGCCAUUUCGAGAAAUUUGGGGACCGUUGAUUUAAUUUUUCUAAAUUACUUUGAUGGAAACCAAUUUAAUCGCAGUGGCUUGAACCGGGCAAAAGUCGUAACAAGGUAGCAAUCACUAGUGUUCCCGCGGCCGCCUGCAGGGCGGCCAUAUGGGGGAGCUCCCGACGCGUCGGGCCCAUUGCUUGAGUGCCCUAUAGUGUCUCCUAUUUCGCUUCGCGUAAUCAUGGCCGUCGCUGUUCCCCGUCGGGACUGGGUAUCCCCUCGCGUUUCCACACAACUUACGCGCCGUGCAGCACAUCCCCCUUUCGCCUGCGGUGCCUAAUGAGCGAGCUGGCCCGCACCGAUUGCCCUGC
rnacentral:rRNA from 1 species